UUUGUUUUAGCAACCUUUUCUUUCUUAGAGCGUGGAUCCCGUCGAGUACGACGGACGUGAGGGGUGCUAAUACCUUCCCCUUGCGUAACCGACUCCCUUACCCUUUCUCUUUGGUCGCGAGACCAUGUCUUUUCCAGGUUUACUCUGAGCGUUUCCUUUCCCUCUUUUGGGAUAAAUAACGCACGGUGGCGGCUCUGUUGUCC
rnacentral:lncRNA from 1 species